ensembl:lncRNA
UCUCUCUCUCUCUCUCUCUCUCUCUCUCUCUCUCUCUAUCUCUCUCUCUAUUUUUAUGUCUCUCUCACACACACACACACACACACAAAUGCACUGACGAGUGGUUCAGCCCUGAGGCAGCCCAGGCAGUCAGCGAGGGAAAUUUAGAUGGGAGGGAAACAGCAAGCACAAAAGGGUCAUGAUGUAACCACAGGAACAGCAGCACAACAACAAAUGACCAAGAGAUACCGAGACGUCAGACAGAUAUGGUGAUAUCUUCCACUGUGUGCACAGAAUGAGGCUUUGACACAUGCAUCACCAGGAGGAAUGACACGAAAGAUAAGUAAUCUCCUGCUGGGGCACAGGAGAAGACCCGGUGAUUGUGAAGGCAGCUGGUGUGCUGGUCUGGAGAAACGGCUGUCUUAACAGGGAUUUGUGUUUCUCACAUGGUUACUUCUCACCAUGAAAAACAAAGCAGCUGUUGUUUACCUCCAACAGUCAUGAUCUAAACAGAGUCUGCAGCCAUUUCCACAGGACCUCAGCUGCUGUGUCAGUGUUGUGAUUUGCUCCGAGUUGAUAAAUAUUCUCAUUUGGGCAGACUGAAGGUCAGCUUCACCUAUGGGGGGCCGGAGGAGGCCUUUACUCACGAGCCUGUCCGGCUUUGUGCCCCGCCGCAGACCCUGUUCCUGACCAAGUGACGGCACAGAGGGUGGAAAGCUGCAGACAUGUCCCACUUUCACCUCGGUGUCAGAGCACUCAGUCUGUCCUCCUAAGUGACUACAGAACAGUGGCAGUGAGAGUCAGUGGGGAAACAGUGGUUGUGUUCUGUACUAGAGACUAGGAGGGGUGUGGUGCGGCGUGGUGCGGUGCCGCGUGGCGGAACAACGACGAAGAGCCAGCAGGGUCACAUUCCACAGGGAGCUGGUUGGCAGACGGAGGGGCCCGCUUGGAUCAACUCUACAACACUGUUCCUCUCGGCUGUUCCUCUACAGGCACGCACACACACACACACACACAGAUAUGUGUACACACAGACAUGGUAUAUCUCACUACACAGUGUGAUUGUGACAUGUCCAGCAUUCACUGUA